rnacentral:lncRNA from 1 species
GGAGGAGGAGGAAUGCACGAAAACAACAAGAUGGCGCCGCGGGGGAUGGGCGCCUUGCCUGCGCCCUCGGAACCCGGAGCGUCCCGAAGGGCGGAGUGGAAGGGCCGGUCGGGGCCCAGCCUGCGGGGCGUAGCCGGCUUCCGCCAGCUUGGGAGGCCGCUUGGACAGGCCCAGGGUGCGGUCGCCAGCGCGCCCAUCACGAGACCCCUGGCCGGGAUCCAGGACUCCCUUUGGGCCUUCGCGGCGCCUUUCCUUAAUUUGCUUUGUCCGCUUUGCAUUUGUCCUCUGAGCGUUGUCGACCUCCUAGGGGAGCGAUUAGAUCAGGGCGAGGCCAACAGCGAGCAAGAGCAGGAAAAAUGCUGACCGUGGACCCCGCCGGGGUCAGCAAUGGUAGAGAUGGAACCUGCUGGGAGGUGGACCACACCCCACCCCUAUCCACCCCGGGGCGCUUCGGGACCUCCUCACUGUAGGGGCGGCCAGUGUGGCAGAAUCCAAGCUUGUCUGUUUGGCUUUUGUGAAAAAAAGC